AUUGAACGCUGGCGGCAUGCCUUACACAUGCAAGUCGAACGGCAGCGGGGGAGAAGCUUGCUUUUCCUGCCGGCGAGUGGCGAACGGGUGAGUAAUACAUCGGAACGUGCCCUGUAGUGGGGGAUAACUAGUCGAAAGAUUAGCUAAUACCGCAUACGACCUGAGGGUGAAAGUGGGGGACUGCAAGGCCUCAUGCUAUAGGAGCGGCCGAUGUCUGGUUAGCUAGUUGGUGGGGUAAAGGCCUACCAAGGCGACGAUCAGUAGCUGGUCUGAGAGGACGAUCAGCCACACUGGGACUGAGACACGGCCCAGACUCCUACGGGAGGCAGCAGUGGGGAAUUUUGGACAAUGGGCGAAAGCCUGAUCCAGCAAUGCCGCGUGUGUGAAGAAGGCCUUCGGGUUGUAAAGCACUUUGUCCGGAAAGAAUGGCUCUGGUUAAUACCUGGGGUCGAUGACGGUACCGGAAGAAUAAGGACCGGCUAACUACGUGCCAGCCGCCGCAGUAA
rnacentral:rRNA from 1 species